rnacentral:rRNA from 1 species
AUUGAACGCUGGCGGCAGGCCUCACACAUGCAAGUCGAACGAGUGGCGGACGGGUGAGUAAUGUCUGGGAAACUGCCUGAUGGAGGGGGCUAACUACUGGAAACGGUAGAUAAUACCGCAUACCAUCAGAUGGGCCCAGAGGGGAUUAGCUAGUUGGUGGGGUAACGGCUCACCAAGGCGACGAGCCCUAGCUGGUCUGAGAGGAUGACCAGCCACACUGGAACUGAGACACGGUCCAGACUCCUACGUGAGGCAGCAGUGGGGAAUAGUGCACAAUGGGCGCAAGCCUGAUGCAGCGAUGCCGCGUGUAUGAAGAAGGCCUUCGGGUUGUAAAGUACUUUCAGCGGGGAGGCGUUACCCGCAGAAGAAGCACCGGCUAACUCCGGGCCAGCCGCCGCGGUAAUAC